rnacentral:lncRNA from 1 species
UGAUGAAUUGGAGCUACUUAUGCCGUUGUAGUGUGUAAGUGUUACAUGAUUGAUGUCAUCUAAAUCAUUAUCCAUCACUGAUCCGCGUGCCUAUGCUUUACAUAUAUUGAAUCGUGUUAAGUUACUACUUCUGUUGUUACUGUCACACGUGCUACGCAAUUGCUAUUGUUACUACUGUUACAAAAAUUGCUGCUCUCACUAUUAUUGCUACUACUAUUAUUUGUCGUGCUACUAUACCUUUGCUAUAGAUAAAUAUCCCAGGUGCAGUCUAAUUGUCAACUCAACUAUUGUAGCGACGUGUUUUUCAGAAAAUAAUUUCCAGAAAACAUGUCUCCGUGUUUACCAGCCCCAGGAUUGCUGUUAGCUGAUAGACACUUACUUGAUAUAGAAUAUCCAAGCAAAAAAUGAAAAAUAUGAGUUACAAGACCAUGAAGGUCUACUAGGUUGAACAAAAGUCUGAGGUUGAUGGCGGAAGCGACUUGAGGAAUCUCCAGUGCCUAUGGGACUCCAUUCUCACAGGAACAGCUGACCUGGAUAAAUUCCUAUCUUACAAGGAUGUUAUCCUUGACUCCUAGGUUCCGGGGUUGAUGGUAUCGUGCUCCUCUCCAAACGCAAUCUGGCCAAGACAAUAGCCAGGGACAACCCAGCGAGUACUUUGAAUGUACUCGCAAACAUCAAGAAAACAAAACACGUUAAGCAGGUGAGAUGCAUGCAAAUUCCUCUAACAAAAAUAUCUGGCCAUUAUAGUUUAAUUCAUGGAUGCACUCAUGAAAAUAUGCUAUGUUUCCACCAAUGAUUUAUAAACAAGCAACGAUGAAAAUGCUGAAAAGUAAUAAUAUGCGUGCCACAGUCAGGCGUCGGAGCGACACCACAUAAAGGGCUUAUAUGAAACAAUAAACAUGCCACAGUCAGGCAUCUGAGCGACACAACAUAAAGGGCUUAUAUGAAAUAGUAAACAUGCCACAAUCGGGCAUCUCAGCGACACCACAUAAAGGGCUUAUAUGAAACAGUAAACAUGCCACAGUCGGGCGUCUCAGCGACACCACAUAAAGGGCUUAUAAGAAAUAAUAAACGUGCCACAGUCGGGCGUCUGAGAGACACCACAUAAAGGGCUUAUAUGAACCAAUAAUAAAUAUUGAAUAUCCAGGAGGUAGAACCGUCCCAGGAAUAUUCAACUAAUAAUCAUAGGGGUUAGACCAGAGUAAUAAUCGUAAUACGAUCAUCCACCACAUCAUCAUAUGAUUUACCACAACCAUUAUUAUUAUCACCAAUUAUACUCCAAAGACCGACUCUAGGACCGACACUUGACUCGUCAAACAACGUCCUUGACCGGGGACACGGCUACUCGAAUGAUUUUGACUCUGCAGAGGGUGUACUCUUUAUUCAUAGUCCACGGUUUUCAAUAGUCAAUAUGACUAAUCCUGCUUACGAGAUUUUAGAAGCGGGCACUCAGAAGUAGCACACACCCACUUUAUCUCUGCAAAGCCCGGAUUCACCCGGACUACGCUGCCAAGGUAAAACCAUAAGACGGGGAGGCUCCAACCUCGAUCAGCAUGGGAUCAAAAUUUAUACCACGUGCUCAUUGGGAAGGGCCAUUCCCUUCCAGUCCGAGACCGGAAACACCCAUUCCCCCUGACUGGAUGACUGGAUAUAUUCCAUGGCCAUGGAUACCUUCAUACCGGCCCCUCUACUUGGUGUGUGACUGAUAAUAGGUCUACAACAGACUAUACCGAACCCAUUAUCCAGGGAACUGUGGUAGCACGAUAAGAAGUAUGACACGGACAAGACUCGAUCUAGGUCGAUACUGGAGUUUACCAGAUUUUACGGACAUCGUCGUGCUCAUGUCAUGACCAGGCCAUAACCUAUCACGUUCCGCAUGACUAGGUUAUUCCACGACCUCUCAUAACCAGCACAUGCCAGCACCAUAUUUCACCAUUUGUUAUAAUGAGAGUAACAUGCAUGAAUAUGCAAAGUAUUAUUUCAUGUGAAACUAUUAUGAAUAUAACCUCAAAUCAAGCGAUAUAAUCACCACCACAAUCAUCACACAACUUAUGCAAAUAAGGAUUCAAGAAUGCUUGCCUUAGGGGUUUUGCGGAGAGUGAUGUCUGCCCCCAUCAUCUUGGAGUAGGUAGCCAGUCUUCAAAGUCCUAGUUUGAAAAUAUUUGAAUUGUCACACACAUUCAAGACAGCACACAAAAGUUGUUUAGAAAAUUUUAAAAUAAAUCUUAAAAUAAACUAGAUGAAAUUCUAAGUCAGUAGGAAAAAUAAUCAAGUGAUUUGGGGCUUCCUACUAAAAGAUAUAGCCAGUCAAACCUACUAGUCAAAUAUGUUUUUAAAACAGAAAUAAAAGAAAACACUUUGGGCUCUUUACACUUUCGCAAGAGAGAAAGCGCAUUUGCUGAAACAGUCAGACGGAAAUACGCUUUGCGAAAUAGAAAACGCACCAGGGGAGUCAUGCGCCACUCGGGCUGGGGCUCACUCUCCGACAGGCGGGACCCGCCUGUCGGGUCCUUCUCCUUCAUGUGCGCCUGAGCCUGGGCAGAACAGAGGCAAUCUUCCGGCGAGGCUCACUGGCGGCACAGGGCACCUACGAUCGCGCUCCACUAUGCACGCGCUCGUGGGAGUGAGACGCUUCCAUUUUUGGCACUUGGAGGUGCUACGGAGCUCGGGGCUGAUCCAUAGAGGGAGGCUCUACUGGUUCAGAAGCUUCGAUCCACAGCGGCUCUUACUCGAGCUCAAGCAGCGGCGAGGCUCCGAGGGGUCUCAAGGGGUGCGACUGGUGCAGUGGGUGCAGCUAGAGGGCUUCGGCAAUGGAAAAUUUCACCGGAGGUGACCGCGACUCUACUGACAGAAAUCUCGCAGCUACGGUCAACCAGAGGCGAGGGGGAGGGAGCUCACGCCACGGGACGAGGCUUGCGAUGCCCAGGGGCUAGGGAUGGUCCUUUUAUAGCUAGCUAGAGCCGUCCCACCGACACUUGGGGAUAAGAUCAACGGCGGCAACUUCUGGCAAGAACUCAGGUGCAACAGGGCGGCAGCAGGGGCAGCAGGGCUCGACAGCAAGGGAAGCAGGGGAGCGGGGCAGCCGCAAACAAUGAGGGGGAGGGAUCCAGGGC